ACGGUACGGUCGGUCGUCCGCGUCGGUCAAGCGCCUAAACCAGUGCAGCCGACCGAACAUGACGCCGUGAGGAAAGUUUCCUGAAACUUUUUGAUAGAUUUCUAGCAACUUAACGGUCGAGGUGUUGUUGCUGCAAAGGACAUAACACAAGGUCAAUUUCUAGCAGAAUAUCAAGGAGAACUAAUUAGUGAAACUGAACUAGAAAACAGGGAAGAGCAGGCAGAAAGUGUAUUUCGGUACACUUUCUCUUGGAGAGGAAAAAAUCUUUGUGUGGAUGCCACAGAUGAACCAACUACCAGAAGUCUCGGGAGGCUGUUCAACCAUGGUUACAGUGAAUCUGAAAGGAACUGCAGAAUGAAAUUAAUUGCAUUCAGUAAUAAACCCCACCUGUGCCUAUUUAGUACAUGGUUAGUACCCUGCAUGAAAAGUUGAG